rnacentral:rRNA from 1 species
GAUGAACGCUGGCGGCGUGCCUAAUACAUGCAAGUCGAGCGAACAGACGAGGAGCUUGCUCCUCUGACGUUAGCGGCGGACGGGUGAGUAACGCGUGGAUAACCUACCUAUAAGACUGGGAUAACUUCGGGAAACCGGAGCUAAUACCGGAUAAUAUCUUGAACCGCAUGGUUCAAUAGUGAAAGACGGUUUUGCUGUCCCUUAUAGAUGGAUCCGCGCCGCAUAAGCUAGUUGGUAAGGUAACGGCUUACCAAGGCAAGGAUCCGUAGCCGCCCUGAGAGGGGGUCCGGCCACACUGGAACUGAGACACGGUCCAGAUUCCUACGGGAGGCAGCAGUGGGGAAUUUUCGGCAUGGGGCGAAAGCCGGACGGGCCAACGCCGCGUGAGGGAUGAAGGUCUUCGGAUCUUAAACCUCUGUUAUUAGGGAAGAACAAAUGUGUAAGUAACUAUGCACGUCGUGACGGUACCUAAUCAGAAAGCCACGGCUAACUACGUG